rnacentral:rRNA from 1 species
AGUGAACGCUGGCGGUAGGCCUAACACAUGCAAGUCGAACGGCAGCACAGUAAGAGCUUGCUCUUACGGGUGGCGAGUGGCGGACGGGUGAGGAAUACAUCGGAAUCUACUUUUUCGUGGGGGAUAACGUAGGGAAACUUACGCUAAUACCGCAUACGACCUACGGGUGAAAGCAGGGGAUCUUCGGACCUUGCGCGAUUGAAUGAGCCGAUGUCGGAUUAGCUAGUUGGCGGGGUAAAGGCCCACCAAGGCGACGAUCCGUAGCUGGUCUGAGAGGAUGAUCGGCCACCCUGGAACUGAGACACGGUCCAGACUCCUACGGGAGGCAGCAGUGGGGAAUAUUGGACAAUGGGCGCAAGCCUGAUCCAGCCAUACCGCGUGGGUGAAGAAGGCCUUCGGGUUGUAAAGCCCUUUUGUUGGGAAAGAAAAGCAGCAGGUUAAUACCCCGCUGUUCCGACGGUACCCAAAGAAUAAGCACCGGCUAACUUCGUG